rnacentral:lncRNA from 1 species
GAACAAACGCCAAUGUAACCAUUAUAUUUGACAGUACAAAACUAGUACCAAUAUCACUACCACUGCUAAGGCUGUAUACAAAAGAAAAAAAUAAACCAAGAAAAGAGAAAAAUAUUAGGAAACGGUAUCACAUUCUCCAGGUGUCACAAAGCAUCUAUUAAAGUAUAUAUGUUCACCUGGUGCAUUUAGCACAACUGCGAUAGAACCCACUAUUUAUCAAAUGCAUUCGAAUAUUCCUAAUUCUGCAAUUUCUCUUUCAAUAAGAAAUGAGCUAAAAUAGAACCGUUGCUUAUGAUUGGUUAUAGAGCAUAAGAUGCAGAUCUAAAAGGUGACCUUUUUCUUAUUUUAACCUUGGCUCUUAUACUGGAAGAAGAGAAAAGGGAAUGAAAAGAGACUACAAUGUAUAAUUACAGAAUUCGAAAAACGCAGAACUUACUCAUUACUAAGCCAAUCCUCCCAAGCCUUUAAUUCAUUUGAUGAGUACAAUUAGAUAAGAUAAUGAAAAUUGAUCAUCAAUAAGUCAAACGGCAACAAUUAAGUUCAAUAAAACCUAU